CCAGUACAUUGUUAGAGUAACUAAGAAAUACUAGUACAUGCAUCCUUCUUACUGAGAGAUGUUUUUGCACGUACAAUACUUCUUCUUUAAAUCUUCUUUCAGUGCCUCAAGGAAAUCUCAACACACUGAUUUUUCCAUAAUCUGGAUGCUUGUUGAGAAUUUACAAUAUGCUUUAAUAACAAAUAAGUUUAUGAAGAUCCAUGCAGUGUUUGAGGCAGUCAUUGCUCAAAAAACAAAGCCUCAGCAACACGAAUACAAUGGUCAUCAUCACAUUUAUAGAAAAUACCUCAAUUUUCCAGGCCUUCAUAAUUACCCUUCACACACACAAAAACCUUACCUCAGCAACUACCUCACAAGGAACUAACAUGAAGUUUACCACAGGUGGGCCCCUUGCUAGGGGUGGUAAUAAGAAGCAGAUGAGAAAGAAUAGGAAACCAAUGAUUUAUAAGAGAAAUUGCCAAGUGAAGUCUGAACCUAUUUUACAGUUGAAGUAAAUUGGCUUGUUUGGGAACCGCCAAAUAAGAGCUAGUGAGAUCAGAUUGCUUCAUACGCUACUUGCAGUUAGCUACAUCAGAAUGAGAAGUGGAAAUAAAGCAAAAUAAUUGGCUCCCCAGCACAGCACACAUCCCCUCCAAGGUGGGACUGCUCUAGGAGUAAGUCUGGGUUGCACAGCUGAGCAGGCUGGUGUCUUUGGGAUCCCUGCAGCUGUAGGAUUAAACAUUUCAAUAAAUAAUGUUCCAUGUAAAAGGAUGAUGAAAUUCACAGACUGCCACAUCGAUGAAGUUAUAAACCUUUCCGUAACUACUCAUGCAAAAUCUGCACAAGUUCAGCGAUGGUUAAUGGUUCAAGAGGAUCCCCAAAGGAGCAUGCCAGAAUUCUCUCACACAAGACAGAAAAGAAUGGGAUUGCAGAUCUGAAAGCUGCAGGAAAACAGACAGCUAUGGUGAUCGUAUUCAGGUGGCCAGUUGGAUUUUGCAUUGGUUCAUUAUGCGCAGAAUCCCAGGAACUAUCACAGAAAAUGGAGCAUGCAUUUUGUGUAUACAGAUAUGGGUAUGCAAUUCCAAAAGUCUGUGUCUGUAUGAUCUGCCAGCGUCUGUAUGUGUGCCUAAUAAUGCUUACCCUUAUAUACCCUUAUACCUAUAAGCCUACUACAGCUUGAAUUGUGGGACUAUUUAGGACUUCGAGAAGUCUCAGGGGAAGCAUUGCUGGUGCAAUCAUGUAUUUUAUUUCGAGCAUGCAAAAUCUUCUAUCUGCAGUGGCAAACACAGUAGCCCACAGGCUGAGACUACCAAAAUUUAGUGGUUUUUUUGGUAAUUCCUACUAGUUAUUUUGCAGCCAUUUCUUUUAAUAUUUACUAUGAAGUCUAGGGACGUUUGUGUUGUCCCUAUAUGUCCAGACACCACAAAUGUAUUUUUUUUUUAAAUGCCCACAGUUUAGUUACAUUUCACUUUUGUUUAGGAAUGCAGAGUGCUCGUGUUGAGAUUUAGCAAGAAAAGAGAUAGUAAAUGUCAAACAAAAGUAAUACCUGAAAGGAAAUAAAACAAAUAAUUCAAAAUACUUGUUUAAAAAG
ensembl:lncRNA